rnacentral:rRNA from 1 species
CACGGAGUUAGCCGAUGCUUAUUCAUAUGGUACCGUCAUCAAUGUACACGUACACCUUAUUCUUCCCAUAUAAAAGCAGUUUACAACCCAUAAGGCAUUCUUCCUGCACGCGGCAUGGCUGGUUCAGUCUUCCGACCAUUGACCAAUAUUCCUCACUGCUGCCUCCCGUAGGAGUCUGGUCCCUGUCUCAGUACCAGUGUGGGGGAUCUCCCUCUCAGGACCCCUACCUAUCGUAGCCUUGGGGUGCCGUUACCACUCCAACUAGCUAAUAGGACGCAUGCCCAUCUUCCACCGUCGUAGCUUUAAUUGCUAGAUGAUGCCAUCCAACAAUAUUAUGGGGUAUUAAUCCAAAUUUCUUCGGGCUAUCCCCCUGUGAAAGGUAGGUUGCAUACGCGUUACGCACCCGUGCGCCGGUUUCUGCCCCGAAAGGGCUUCUCCCUCGACUUGCAUGUGUUAGGCCUGCCGCUAGCGUUCAUCCUGAGCCAGGAUCAAACUCU